AGUUGGUAAUUGUCAAUGAAAGUCUGUUGUUGUAAACAUCCCCGACUGGAAGCUGUAAGACACAGCCAAGCUUUCAGUCAGAUGUUUGCUGCUACCGGCUAAUCACAAACAUCAUCAUGUUA
rnacentral:pre_miRNA from 12 species